rnacentral:rRNA from 1 species
GCUCAGAUUGAACGCUAGCGGCAUGCUUAACACAUGCAAGUCGAACGGCAGCGCAAAGGAGCUUGCUCCUUGGCGGCGAGUGGCGAACGGGUGAGUAACGCGUAGGAAUCUGCCUUGUAGUGGGGGACAACUCGGGGAAACUCGAGCUAAUACCGCAUAAUCUCUACGGAGCAAAGUGGGGGAUCGUAAGACCUCACGCUAUAAGAUGAGCCUGCGUCGGAUUAGCUUGUUGGUGGGGUAAUGGCCUACCAAGGCGACGAUCCGUAGCUGGUCUGAGAGGACGACCAGCCACACUGGGACUGAGACACGGCCCAGACUCCUACGGGAGGCAGCAGU